AGAGUUUGAUCCUGGCUCAGAAUGAACGCUGGCGGCGUGCCUUACACAUGCAAGUCGAGCGAGGCGCGGGGGCAACCCCGCAGUCGAGCGGCGAACGGGUGAGUAACACGUGGAUAACCUGCCCUGAGGCGUGGAACAACCAGGGGAAACUCUGGCUAAUACCGCAUGAUACCGAGAGGUCAAAGGGGGCUCGCAAGGGCUCUCGCCACAGGAGGGGUCCGCGUCCGAUUAGCUAGUUGGUAGGGUAAUGGCCUACCAAGGCGACGAUCGGUAGCCGGCCUGAGAGGGUGAUCGGCCACACUGGAACUGAGACACGGUCCAGACUCCUACGGGAGGCAGCAGUGGGGAAUUUUGCGCAAUGGGCUAACGCCUGACGCAGCAACGCCGCGUGGAGGAUGAAGGUCUUUGGAUUGUAAACUCCUGUCAGCAGGGAAAAAGCGAAUUGGCCUAAUACGCCAGUGAGUUGAUUGUACCUGCAGAGGAAGCCC
rnacentral:rRNA from 1 species